CCUACGGGUGGCAGCAGUGAGGAAUAUUGGUCAAUGGACGAGAGUCUGAACCAGCCACGUAGCGUGAAGGAUGACUGCCCUCUGGGUUGUAACCUUCUUUUAUAUGGGAAUAAAAUGUUCCACGUGUGGGACUUUGUAUGUACCAUAUGAAUAAGGGUCGGCUAACUCCGUGCCAUCAGCAGCGGUAAUAUGGAGGAUCCGAGCGUGAGCCGGAUGUAUUGGGCUUAAGGGGAGUGUAGGUGGUUUGUUAAGUCAGUUGUGAAAGUUUUGGGCUCAACGGUAAAAUUGCAGUUGAAACUGGCAGUCUUGAGUACAGUAGAGGUGGGCGGAAUUCGUGGUGUAGCGGUGAAAUGCUUAGAUAUCACGAAGAACUCCGAUUGCGAAGGCAGCUCACUGGACUGCAACUGACACUGAGGCGCGAAAGUGUGGGUAUCAAACAGGAUUAGAUACCCUAGUAGUC
rnacentral:rRNA from 1 species